CUCUUAUCAAGAGUGGUGGAGGGAUGUGCCCGAUGAAACCCAGCAACCGUCGAUUUUUCGAAAUGGUGCUAAGUCACAAAAAGUUAUUUAACUUUUGGAGAUGAGAG
rnacentral:ncRNA from 23 species